CCGUGCCGUGGUCAGUCACGUUUCACUGUGCGCACUGGAAAGUCGUGUUUGUCGCGUGUGUUUUCUUCUAAAAACAAAAAUUCACCGUUCUUUCGUCGUUCGUUCGUUCGUGUGUAAAUCCUUGAUUGUUUGUUUCUGCCGGCGGUGCAUCAUCGAUCGUCGUCCUUUUUUUUUUUGGUGUUGCUGCAAGGAAGAAGACACACUUAUACAAACGUAACGUUUGAAAACAGAUAAAAAGAAGGUGGAUUAGGAAUACAAAAGCCGUGGUGCCGCCGCGUGUGUAAACGUGUAUUUGUGUUGUUUUUUGAGCUACCGGAGAUUUUUUGUGAAGGUUAUCAACACGCGCGGUCGGCCGCUCAAUCUCCCUCUCUCUCGCGCCAGCAUCCCAAAACGUCAACAAACUUGCCCCGACCGUCAUCAUCGUCAUUGAAGGGGUGGUGAGAGUGUAUUGGUAGAGCGCGGUUUUGUUGUCGGAAGCUGUGUGUGCGACGACGAAGAAGCUGAAGAGCCCAUCCAAGUAGCCCGAAAACAAGUUUUUUUCUGCAAGUGCGUCGGUAGUGUUGGUGCAAGUGCAUUUUUAUCUCGUUCAUAAAAGGAAGCAAAACGGGUGCAAAAUAGGAGUGCGAGUGUGUGCGUGUGAGCAAUUGAAAAAGGGUAAUUUUUACGCUAAAAUCACUGCCUUGACCGCGUAAACAAAGGAGCUUGAGAUUGAGAGAAAGAACGGGAGAAAACGAGAGAGAGAGAGUGAAGAAGUUGUAAAGAAGAAGAUUGUCGUCAAAACAAAAAGCAAGUGGACACUGCGCGGCGACGACGCGAACGAGGAAGGGAGAAAGGAGUGAAAAGAAGAGAAGCAGGAGAGUAACCGGAAGAACGUGACACCGAAACCUGAAAGGAAUAGUUAUUUCAAUGGUUUAGUGACGGAAAACAAGAGAGAGUUAAAUAAGCAACAGUUACAUUGCUCGGAAACCGGACGAAAUUGCUUGGUGUCAGUGCAAAACAGAAAAAAUCAUCAAGGUGGCGCGAGCCAAAUCUGAUAAGCAAC